rnacentral:misc_RNA from 1 species
UCCAGCUUAUCGCUGGCGGUCUCCUGCGAGUUCCUCCCUUUCGGGUCUGGCAACACAGGACAAGGGUUGCGCUCGUUGCGGGACUUAACCCAACAUCUCACGACACGAGCUGACGACAGCCAUGCAGCACCUCGACUCCACUCCCUUGCGGGAUAAGAGCGUUUCCGCUCCCGUUGAGAAGCCGUUCGAGCCCAGGUAAGGUUCUUCGCGUUGCGUCGAAUUGAACCACAUGCUCCACCGCUUGUGCGGGCCCCCGUCAAUUCCUUUGAGUUUCAGCCUUGCGACUGUACUCCCCAGGCGGCAUAUUUAACGCGUUAGCUCCGGCACGGACAGAAUGAACUGCCCACACCAAAUAUGCAUCGUUUAGGGCGUGGACUAC